CCUAAAGACCCCAAGAAGAUGACUUGGUUGAUAGGUCACAGAUGUAAGUGUGGUAACACAUUCAGUCGAGUGAUACUAAUCGGUCGUGAGGCUUGACCAU
rnacentral:rRNA from 1 species